rnacentral:rRNA from 1 species
UACGAGUGCCUCAAGCGUUAUCCGGAAUUAUUGGGCGUAAAGGGUGCGCAGACUGUCGCGUUAGUCUCAUGUUAAAGCCUACGGCUCAACCGUAGAAUCGCAUGGGAAACGGCGCGACUUGAGCGUGUGAGGGGUCUAUGGAAUUCUAGGUGUAGGGGUAAUAUCCGUUGAUAUCUAGGAGAACACCAAAAGCGAAGGCAAUAGACUGGCACACUUCUGACGUUCAUGCACGAAAGCGUGGGUAGCGAAU